rnacentral:rRNA from 1 species
GUGUCAGCAGCCGCGGUAAUACGUAGGGGGCUAGCGUUGUCCGGAUUUAUUGGGCGUAAAGAGCGCGUAGGCGGCCGAGUAAGUCCGACGUGAAAUCUGGAGGCUCAACCUCCAGCGGUCGUUGGAAACUACUCGGCUAGAGUCCGGAAGAGGAGAGUGGAAUUCCUGGUGUAGCGGUGAAAUGCGCAGAUAUCAGGAAGAACACCGAUGGCGAAAGCAGCUCUCUGGGACGGUACUGACGCUGAGGCGCGAAAGCGUGGGGAGCGAACAGGAUUAGAAACCCCCGUAGUCC